ensembl:lncRNA
GAGCCGUGUCUCCCGGCCGACUUGGGUGUCCCGGUUGGUGUGUGGUCGGGCCUGGGACGGGCGUGGUGCGGCGGGAACCGCCGGGUAGCGACCACGUCUCGUCAGGGGGUUCGUGCCUGCUGCUGGGCACGGGAACGGCUCCGGGGGGGUCUUACGGGCGCUGAGGGGAUUCCGCAUCAUGGAGAGGUCAAGGGGAGUUGGUGGCCGUCACCCUUCGUCAGGGCAGGGUAGCCUCAGUGCUCCCGUGCUGGGGUUCCUGGAGAGCCGGCUGGCACGGACAGACUCUUGUGAGGGCAAGUGGCUGAUCGUGCGUCGGAUGGGUCCAGCAAAGGAGAGAAAGCUUCGGUGCGCGCGCGCUCGCCAGGGAAAGGGUGACAGCGGGUGGGACCGAGAGGGAGAGAGAGAGAGGGAGAGAACAAAGGAAGAGAGAGGGUUUCCGCAGGGGCGGUGAGUCCUGGCGGAAGUCCUGAGGCAGAGGAGGUGCCAGGGGUUUGGGUUUCCCGGUCGUGUCGGGGGUGUGGCGCAGGUUGCCCCAGUGGGCCUGAAUGUGCCUCCGUGGGGCACCUUGUUGCCGUGUUGGGGGGCGGGGAGCCGGCCUUGGGGAUCCAUCUUUCGGGCCCUGGGACGUGGGAGAAGAAUGCCGGGGCCUCUCUCUGUGCCCCUGGCACGCCUCUGUGCAGGCCGGGCCUGCACCCCCCCCCAGGCAGGGUCCGUGUGGCUGCAGACACCCAGAGAGAGGGGAGGCUGGGGAGGCUGGGGAGCCGUGGCAGCCCGAUGCAGUGCGGGUCUCCAGGUGGAGGGGCCCUGGUCCCCUGGCGCCAGCGUGGCCCUUCCUCCUUGUGGAAACCCUUGUGGUGUGUGUGCUCUCUCGCCCUGACCCAGGAGAGCAGCAUGGCGGACCCCUGAUCUUGUGGCGUGCCACCGCGCGAGGCCGAGGAGCUCCCGCAGACCAGUGGGCGUGGCGUCCUUGUCGCGGCUCUGUGGAGACCUGGCGAUGGAGAGCAGCAUGGCGGACCCCUGAUCUUGUGGCGUGCCACCGCGCGAGGCCGAGGAGCUCCCGCAGACCAGUGGGCGUGGCGUCCUUGUCGCGGCUCUGUGGAGACCUGGCGAUGGUGAGCGGCCCCUGUCCUCAGUGGUGGAGAACUCGCCCUUGGGGCGCUCGUCUGUCCGGAGCCCCGGGCCACCCCCGCUUCUCGCGGGCUUUGGCCCCGGCAGGCCAGCUCCGGGGGCGUGAGGGGGAGCGUCCCGUCCUGCCCAGUGGCUCGUCUGUCUGGGCACGCCCCCAAACGCUGCCGUGAUGGAGCGGGUGGGAUGUCCAGGUGCGGAGGCCGUGAAUUUGCCUUGCGGCGGCGGAGCCCGUGCUCGGAUCGAUGAUGACUCCCUCUAAAGCAUUCCUUGGAAAUCUGAACAAAAUGAGUGAGAACUCACUACCGUCUCCUCAUCGAAACUGAGGUCCGGCACGUGGCGGCCACCGGGGGCUCGGGGGUAGAUGGGCCCUUGGCCUUGGGGCCUCUGGGUGUCAGCAGCCACUCGGGUGAGGUCUGGGGAAGGCGGCCGCCUGCCGGGCCCAGGAAGCAUGGGG